UACGUAGGGACCAAGCGUUGUUCGGAUUUACUGGGCGUAAAGGGCGCGUAGGCGGCUUGACAAGUCACUUGUGAAAUCUCCGGGCUUAACUCGGAACGGCCAAGUGAAACUGUCAUGCUAGAGUGCAGAAGGGGCAAUCGGAAUUCUUGGUGUAGCGGUGAAAUGCGUAGAUAUCAAGAGGAACACCUGAGGUGAAGACGGGUUGCUGGGCCGAUACUGACGCUGAGGAGCGAAAGCGUGGGGAGCGAACAGG
rnacentral:rRNA from 1 species